UUAAAACUUAGCGCUUUGCUCCGCCUGGGCAGGCGUGCACCACGUGACCCACAGCCCCUUUCACUUAGUCAUCUUUCAGGCAGAAUGUUGUGCUUUUUACUGACGUUCCUGUGAACUGAGAGGAAACAACAACAUGGCGGCCUUCGUGUUACUGAGCCUGGCUCCCUGCACUACCCUGGUGGACACCAGGAAACCUACAGAUCCCGGGUCCUGUGUCGAUGACUGAACCCGGACAAGCAGUUAAGACUCAAAGCAGAUCUACUCCACGCACCUGGAGUUAAGAGUUUGAGCAAGCACAAGUACGUCCCCAGGCCUGGCCUCGAACCGCGAUCCUCCCGCUCUCUGCCUCCUGAGCAGCUGGGAUUACAGGCGUGAGCGCCGGCACCCAGCUUGAAUUCGUCGCUCUGAGGACUAGGACUUGUCCCCACAGGGAAAACCCAGUCCCAAACUGGAAAAAUGGGUUUGCCCCUUGGUCCUCACCAACCUGACCUCCCAGGUGGAAUCUGACUGCAGACAGACAGACAGACAGAGAGACAGGGGACAGAAGAGCACAGAGGGCCAUGGUCCCCCCCGUUGCGGUGUCAGGGAUUCAUUUCACCUCUGAUAUUCGGUAGAAAUGUGAGACGAGCUCAAGCACUGACCCCAUCUUCACCCCACAAAUGACCUAAAACCAGGCGCAGCUUGGCCUCCCUGCCGCCAUCUUGGAUCUGUCUUUGCUCUGAGCCGUUUCUGCAGUCGCUCUGCAAACACCUUGGGUCCCAGAAAGGACAGAACUGAUGAUAGCUUCAUGACAAGGGACUGGAAUUUCCCAUAGGAACAGUGGACACUCGUAGGACAGACACCCCACAAAUGAGGACCAGGACCUGUGGCUGCAGUGACCUCAUGGGAACCAGAUCUGUGUCCCCUCAAGAGGUGACAUCUUCUGGGGAACCCCUGGUGGCCCUUGGACUCAGAUAAUAGCCAAGCAGAACCCACCUGGGGCUGGGACUUUUUAGACCCACUUGGUCCCCUGUCCCUCAUUCU